rnacentral:rRNA from 1 species
CCUACGGGUGGCAGCAGUGGGGAAUAUUGGGCAAUGGGCGCAAGCCUGACCCAGCAACGCCGCGUGAAGGAAGAAGGCUCUCGGGUUGUAAACUUCUUUUAUCAGGGACGAAGCAAGUGACGGUACCUGAUGAAUAAGCCACUGCUAACUACGUGCCAGCAGCCGCGGUAAUACGUAGGCGGCAAUCGUUAUCCGGAUUUACUGGGUGUAAAGGGCGUGUAGGCGGGAAAGCAAGUCAGAUGUGAAAACCAUGGGCUCAACCUGUGGCCUGCAUUUGAAACUGUUGUUCUUGAGUACUGGAGAGGCAGACGGAAUUCCUAGUGUAGCGGUGAAAUGCGUAGAUAUUAGGAGGAACACCAGUGGCGAAGGCGGUCUGCUGGACAGCAACUGACGUUGAGGCGCGAAAGCGUGGGGAGCAAACAGGAUUAGAUACCCCUGUAGUC